rnacentral:rRNA from 1 species
CACGUAGGGCGCAAGCGUUGUCCGGAAUUAUUGGGCGUAAAGAGCGCGCAGGCGGUCGUUCAAGUCGAGUGUGAAAGCCCCCGGCUCAACUGGGGAGGGUCAUUCGAUACUGAUCGACUCGAAGGCAGGAGAGGGUAGUGGAAUUCCCGGUGUAGUGGUGAAAUGCGUAGAUAUCGGGAGGAACACCAGUGGCGAAGGCGACUACCUGGCCUGUUCUUGACGCUGAGGCGCGAAAGCUAGGGGAGCAAACGGG